AAGUUGAGAUAAAUCAAAUUUUGCAUUGCAGCUUUAGUUUCUCUUUGUCACUGUCCAAUUUGCUGGUUUCUAGGUUCAAUUUCAGCGCUUUUGUGCAAGCAAAUGCAAAAUUUUAGUCUUUCUUGUUUUGUGGUAGAUGGGAUUGUGUGGUUGUAUAUAAUUGACUUUUGUGAUUGUUGUGUGGUUUGUUUGGCAUUGGCGGUGGCAGAGGAGGAGGUUGGAAGGUGAAAGAUGAGGGAGAGAGAUCAAGAGGUUGCGGCAGAGGAAGGGGCUGUCGUGGUGGUGGCGGCGGCUCUGGCAAAGAUAGAGUUGAUGCACUCAGUAUAUUAUUCCACAACCUUGAAUUGUAGCAGGUUCUGGAGGUAUCAAAGGCUUUCAGAAGGUCAUACUCGAUAGACCCUCCACAUAAUUAAACUAGCCCAGAUCUCAAGGAAGUUCCAGAAAUAUUGCCUUCAAAAUGCAGUGAUGGCUUUCUUUUGCCUUGAAGUUGGUGGAAAGGGAUCAUGGAAACGGGUGCGAGAAAACUUGCGAGGAGCUAAGGGAGUUUGGGAAAACUGAAGAUGAUUUGAAGUCACUUCAAAGUGCUGGUCAAAUGAACCCUGAGCUCUUCCUUAGAGUGGGCAUCAAACCACCAAGGCAUGUUUUAUAUAGUAUUGCUGACUUCAUACUAUUAGUGACAUGUUCAGUAAAUUUUUUAUGCUUACCCUAGUAAUGUUAUCAUGCUAAGAGUCUUCUUCCUUAUUUUAUUGAAGUGUUCCAGGGUUUUCUUCUCUAUGGACCCCCGGGAACAGGGAAGAUAUUGCUAGCAAAGUAAUUGAGAGCAACAUAGAUGCUAACUUUCUAAAGUUAUUCAUGUCUGUGGCUUUUAUACUGAGGUUUUACUUUUUAUGCAAGAGAGUGCUUAUUAUUUUUGUUUCCUCAUGUACGUUAUUUCAUAUGAAAGCUAAAUAUACAUGUACAAUGUAUAUUUAGCUGUGUGUUUGAUUUUGCCCAAGGAUACUUUACCAUUACAUUAGAUCUGUCUUCUGAGACUAAAUCCACUGUCAGUUCUAUUAUUUACUGCUAGCUUAACUUUGUUUCUCUGUAUUGCAGCCCAUACAAAAUCUCUUUGAGGAUAAUGAUAUAGCUGAACAGCUCUUGCAAAGUGUUUUAGUAUGUUUCUUUUUUCAAUUUCGAUUACAUUUUCUUACUUGAGUGUUAGCCAAGAAUAUAAGGAUGGGCGAAAAGCUCAACCUACAUUUUCUCUGGCUUUGUGGAGCUAAAACUUGGAUUGAAAUUGAAGUUCUCUAUCAAGAUAACAAGCCUAGCUUGCUGGAUAUCUACUUGUGCUCUAAUUAUAUUAUUAAACACUUGUUCUGCUUAUAGGAGAGCAAAGAGCAGUUGAAACCCAUGGUGGCUUUGCUACAGCUUGUUUCUCUAUAUCGAAAGGUACAUGUUUAGAUAUGAAUCCAUCUCUUAAGUCUGAAAUUUAUGAAACAAGCCCUUACUAAACUUGUUUGUAUUUAUUAAGAGUAAACAUACUCUUAAUCAUUGAUGCUGGUUUCUUGAUUGUGUUGGUCUUUUCAUUUUUUGUUUUUUGCUCUAUUGUUGUUUCAGAGGUAAAACUAUUCAUCCCUGUAAUACUACAUUACUCAUCAUUCAAGGUAAGCUCAUUCCUCACAGUCUUGUCAUUAUAAUCUGCACUUGAUUUGAAAUUUAACAUUAUAACCUAUUGUUAUUAAUUCUGCUUUUCCAAUUCUUUAUGUAUAUAUAGGUGUAAUUACCAUUUACUUCUAUGUUCCCAAUUCUUAGUAAGGAAUAACUUGAGGAUUCUUGUGUUCUUUGAUAGUAUUAUAGGGCUGCUAGGUACAUAAUACAUUCUAGCAGUUAUCUAAUUGUAUGUUUUCUGGGUUGUUUGUUUAGGAUAUUAUUUGGCAAGGAGAUAUCAUGGGAGUUAAUGCAGUGCUGCAGUUAUUCAUGGUUGAUAUCCAAUCAGAAGAAUAGCAUAGUAUUCAUUAAGUUAUUUUUUCUGGUUCAUUUUGUAGUCACUUCAAACUUUUUUUUGUAUGUAUAUUAACAU